rnacentral:rRNA from 1 species
UACGUAGGGUCCGAGCGUUGUCCGGAAUUUAUUGGGCGUAAAGAGCUCGUAGGCGGUCUGUCGCGUCGAAUGUGAAAACCCGGGGCUCAACUCCGGGCUUGCAUUCGAUACGGGCAGGCUAGAGUUCGGUGGGGGAGUCUGGAAUUCCUGGUGUAGCGGUGAAAUGCGCAGAUAUCAGGAGGAACACCGGUGGCGAAGGCAGUUCUCUGGGGCAUGUCCUGACGUGAGGAGCGAAAGCGUGGGGAGCGAACAGG